GAAUGGAAGUGUGGUUGAAUCAGGACAUAAUCUCAUGGGUUAUGUUCUUGGCACCAUUAUACCUCUUUCUGCCACCAUUGAAAAGGAGGGUCAACAAGUUUCAAAUCCUAAUUAUGAAUUUUGGGAUUGUCAAGAUCAAUUAAUCUUGGCGGUCAUAAUUGCUUCGGUAACAUUUUUUGUGAUGAAUACAAUUGCAGAUGCCAAGACCUCAGCGGAGGCAUGGACCAAACUUCAAGUAGCCUUUGCAAAAAAGUCAACCACUAGAAUUUUAUCAUUGCAGGAAAAAUUAUCCAGAACAAAGUGAGAUUCACCCCCUAUUGCUGAGUAUCUACAAACUGUCAAGUCGAUUGCGAAGGAACUCUCUCUAUGUGGUAGUCCUGUAACGCUCUCACUUUAGGUAGUCCGUACACUACUGCUUCGAUGACUAACGUCUGUUCGGACAGCCAGGAUGUCUGGAACUACACUCGAACUAGAGUGAGGAGUCAAGAGAUGACUAAAUAAAGACCAAAAAAAAUUAAGAAAAAAUAAAAGAAAUGAAUUGUAAAUGAGUUAAACGAGCCGGAGUUACUGCGAUGGGUCACCGUACUGGGAAGCGAUUGUGAAGACAGUUGCUGACCCUAGACCCGCGAGGAACCCUGGUUGACUGUCUUUGAUCCAACAAAAGCUUCAAUCUUUUUACAGUCACAAUCAAAUCUGUAACAAGCCACUAAAGCAAAAUGAAACUUCAUAAUUAUCAUAUGUGCUAUAUUCAGAAACAGAGUAAACAGAAACCAGAGAGCAUGCUUUAAUACACAAUGACACGAGUAACCUCAUAUUGUAUCACACUAGAGCAAAUAAAAAGCAGCUUCUUUAAUGCAUACACCAUACAAUUUUCUUUAGAGAUGCUAUUACUAACUGAAUUUCAUACUUGGUAAUUGGUGGCGUAUACAAGAACCCCUUAAUUGGUUGGAAGUAAUCCCAAACCCGCUCUAUGGCUUAGGAAUAUAGAAUCCAAGCACAAAGAAGUUCAAGAAUCAAUAGCCAAUUACCGCUUAAUUGGGACAUAAGAACACAAAGAAAUUGAAUUAACCAAGCCUAACGCAUUUCCUGAGACCAAACUGAACAUGAAUUACUGUUAUUUGAGAGAGAGAGAGAGAG
rnacentral:misc_RNA from 1 species